rnacentral:rRNA from 1 species
AGCGAACGCUGGCGGCAGGCUUAACACAUGCAAGUCGAGCGGGCAUCUGCGGAUGUCAGCGGCAGACGGGGGGGUAACACGGGGGAACGAACCCGUCGGUUCGGAACAACUCUGGGAAACUGGAGCUAAUGCCGGAUACGCCAAUAUGGGGAAAGGUUUACUGCCGAAGGAUCGGCACGCGUCUGAGUCGCUAGUUGGUGGGGUAACGGCCUACCAAGGCGACGAUCAGUAGCUGGUCUGAGAGGAUGAUCAGCGACACUGGGACUGAGACACGGCCCAGACUCCUACGGGAGGCAGCAGUGGGGAAUAUUGGACAAUGGGCGCGAGCCUGAUCCAGCCAUGCCGCGUGAGUGAUGAAGGCCUUAGGGUUGUAUAGCUCUUUUGUCCGGGACGAUAAUGACGGUACCGGAAGAAUAAGCCCCGGCUAACUUCGUG